AAAAACUACCAUACUGCCCUGAACACAUCUGAUCUUGUCUAAUGUCAGAAGCUAAGCGGGAUCUGUCUUUCUCAGGACUUGGAUGGAAGACCACCAGGUAUCUCAAGUACAGCUAGGC
rnacentral:rRNA from 1 species